ACACGAACCGGACAAACGUUAUUCGGAAUUAUUGGGCUUAAAGGGUGCGUAGGCGGCGCGGUAAGUGAGGUGUGAAAGCCCACGACUCAAUCGUGGAAUUGCGCUUCAUACUGCCGUGCUAGAGGGAGACAGAGGUAAGCGGAACUGAUGGUGGAGCGGUGAAAUGCGUUGAUAUUAUCAGGAACACCGGUGGCGAAGGCGGCUUACUGGGUCUCUUCUGACGCUGAGGCACGAAAGCUAGGGUAGCGAACGGGAUUAGAAACCCCAGUAGUCC
rnacentral:rRNA from 1 species